AAUUUGGUACAGAAAAACUGGCACUACCAAAAGAGAUUGUAUCAUUGUUCCCCUCGUUAAGGAUUCAAGUGCCCUUUGGUGAAAAUGAGGGACAUGAGCAUUUUUUGCUGGGCCAUCACACAGUGGAUUUAUUGAAAUGAGAUUACGUAACAUUAGAUGGAAGCUUCAACAGAGCCAGCGGGUGUACAAUUUGAAACAUCGUCAUUGUACACCGCAACCUUCUUUACCAAGUCAAGAUGAAACUGUACCAAGUGAGUGGUUGACUCUGAUAAAGAGGAUUUCUUGACAUGCCAGCUUUGAUGGACAUUGAAUCCGGAAAUGGGACGGGACGAUAAUUCCAAAACUCAAGAAAAUAGCAUCCUUGGAGAGGAAAAAUGACAUCAGACACUUACUGGAGAAGGCUGACAAUAAGCAUGAUGGUAUGAGCUGUGUUACACUAUGUUGAAGAUCCUUAUUCAUCUUCUUCCACCCACUGCAUCUGUGAGAAGUGUUGCUGGGAGUAAAUGCUGUGUGACUUCUGCUGUGUCCUACCUGUUGGUACAAGUUCCGGCUGGUACUAACGUUACAUCUUUGCUUGCUGAAUCCAUGAAAGGGACCCUAAAGUCAGCUCAGCCGCAGUUGUUUUCCAUCGGUUCUAUAGGACAUGAUCCCAGUACGUAAUUGUGGCAAAGAAUGACUCUUUUGCUCUUCCAUUUGAUGUUGAAAGCCUGACCUGUGCUGUGACAGACUUUUCAAAUUCUUCUGGCUGUGCAAUCUUCAGUAUCCAUGCCAACUGUCUUCUGUUUUUCUUUUUUUGAGUGUAUAUAUAUAUAUAUAUAUAUGACCUGUCUUUGUCUCAGUCAUCUUGCAAACGAUCAAAGUUCAUGGAAUUGAUUGCUAAGGUGCAGUCUCGUACCUAAUUGAAAUAAGCAUGUACACCUGUCCAAAGUGUCUUCAAAAUGAUUGUGUUGAAACAAAGGGGUUAAUUUGGCAUUUAAGGGAAGUGCAUGUACUCUCUGAUAGUCACAACCUAACUAUUAUUUUGUCAAAAUGGUUAAUUACAAUUCCUUUUUAAAACAUCUGAACAGACAUCACUUUAAAAUGAAUUCAUGCCCUUCUAUAGAGUCAGGACAC